rnacentral:rRNA from 1 species
AACGAACGCUGGCGGCAUGCCUAACACAUGCAAGUCGAACGAGACCUUCGGGUCUAGUUGCGCACGGGUGCGUAACGCGUGGGAACCUGCCCUUAGGUUCGGAAUAACUCCCCGAAAGGGGUGCUAAUACCGGAUAAUGUCUUCGGACCAAAGAUUUAUCGCCUUUGGAUGGGCCCGCGUUGGAUUAGCUAGUUGGUAGGGUAAAAGCCUACCAAGGCGACGAUCCAUAGCUGGUCUGAGAGGAUGAUCAGCCACACUGGAACUGAGACACGGCCCAGACUCCUACGGGAGGCAGCAGUGGGGAAUAUUGGACAAUGGGCGAAAGCCUGAUCCAGCAAUGCCGCGUGAGUGAUGAAGGCCUUAGGGUUGUAAAGCUCUUUUACCCGGGAUGAUAAUGACAGUACCGGGAGAAUAAGCUCCGGCUAACUCCGUG